GAUGAACGCUGGCGGCGUGCCUAAUACAUGCAAGUCGAGCGAACGGACGAGAAGCUUGCUUCUCUGAUGUUAGCGGCGGACGGGUGAGUAACACGUGGAUAACCUACCUAUAAGACUGGGAUAACUUCGGGAAACCGGUGCUAAUACCGGAUGAUAUUUUGAACCGCAUGGUUCAAAAGUGAAAGACGGUCUUGCUGUCACUUAUAGAUGUAUCCGCGCUGCAUUAGCUAGUUGGUAAGGUAACGGCUUACCAAGGCAACGAUGCAUAGCCGACCUGAGAGGGUGAUCGGCCACACUGGAACUGAGACACGGUCCAGACUCCUACGGGAGGCAGCAGUAGGGAAUCUUCCGCAAUGGGCGAAAGCCUGACGGAGCAACGCCGCGUGAGUGAUGAAGGUCUUCGGAUCGUAAAACUCUGUUAUUAGGGAAGAACAUAUGUGUAAGUAACUGUGCACAUCUUGACGGUACCUAAUCAGAAAGCCACGGCUAACUACGUG
rnacentral:rRNA from 1 species